UCAGCCGCCGCGGUAAUACGUAGGUCGCAAGCGUUAUCCGGAAUUAUUGGGCGUAAAGAAUGCGUAGGUGGUUUGGAAAGUUGCUAGUUAAAUGCUCAAGCUCAACUUGAGACCUGCUAGCAAAACUUCCAAACUAGAGGAUAGCAGGGGCAAGCGGAAUUCCCGGUGUAGGAGUGAAAUCCGUUGAUAUCGGGAGGAACACCAAUGGCGAAGGCAGCUUGCUAGGUUAUCUCUGACACUGAGGCAUGAAAGCGUGGGGAGCGAACGGGAUUAGAUACCCCGGUAGUCCACGCCGUAAACGAUGCAUACUAGCUAUCAGAAGUAUCGACCCUUCUUGUAGCGAAGCUAACGCGUUAAGUAUGCCGCCUGGGAAGUACGGUCGCAAGACUAAAACUCAAAGGAAUUGACGGGGGCCCGCACAAGC
rnacentral:rRNA from 1 species